UGGGGAAUUUUGCACAAUGGGGGAAACCCUGAUGCAGCGACGCCGCGUGAUUUAGAAGGCCUUCGGGAUGUAAAAAUCUUUUUUACGGGAUGAAAAUGACAGUACCGUAAGAAUACGGUCCGGCUACAUACGUGCCAGCAGCCGCGGUAAUACGUAUGGACCGAGCGUUGUCCGGAAUCAUUGGUCGUAAAGGGUACGUAGGCGGCCUAAUAAGUUAGAAGUGAAAGAAUAUAGCCCAACUAUAUAAAGCAUUUAAAACUGUUAGGCUUGAGAGAUGAAAGGGAAAGUGGAAUUGCUAGUGUAGCGGUGAAAUGCGCAGAUAUUAGGAAGAAUACCGGUGGCGAAGGCGACUUUCUGGGCAUCAUCUGACGCUGAGGUACGAAAGCGUGGGUAGCGAACAGG
rnacentral:rRNA from 1 species